CGAGAGCAUGAAGCCGGAAUCGCUAGUAAUCGUAGAUCAGCCAUGCUACGGUGAAUACGUUCCCGGGUCUUGUACUCACCGCCCGUCACACCAUGGGAGUUGAUUUCACUCGAAGCCGGAAUACUAAACUAGUUACCGUCCACAGUGGAAUCAGCGACUGGGGUGAAGUCGUAACAAGGUAACCGUAGGAGAACCUGCGGUUGGAUCACCUCCUUUCUAG
rnacentral:rRNA from 1 species